rnacentral:rRNA from 1 species
CCUGGUUGAUCCUGCCAGUAGUCAUAUGCUUGUCUCAAAGAUUAAGCCAUGCAUGUCUAAGUGCAUGCCAAAUUAAGGUGAAACCGCGAAUGGCUCAUUAAAUCAGUUAUGGUUCCUUAGAUCGUACCCACAUUUACUUGGAUAACUGUGGUAAUUCUAGAGCUAAUACAUGCAAACCAGAGUUCCGACCAGAGAUGGAAGGAACGCUUUUAUUAGAUCAAAACCAAUCGGUGGCGGGCUUUGCUCGUCCACCGUUUACUUUGGUGACUCUGAAUAACUUUGUGCUGAUCGCACGGUCUCGUACCGGCGACGCAUCUUUCAAAUGUCUGCCUUAUCAACUGUCGAUGGUAGGUUCUGCGCCUACCAUGGUUGUAACGGGUAACGGGGAAUCAGGGUUCGAUUCCGGAGAGGGAGCCUGAGAAACGGCUACCACAUCCAAGGAAGGCAGCAGGCGCGCAAAUUACCCACUCCCGGCACGGGGAGGUAGUGACGAAAAAUAACGAUACGGGACUCAUCCGAGGCCCCGUAAUCGGAAUGAGUACACUUUAAAUCCUUUAACGAGGAUCAAUUGGAGGGCAAGUCUGGUGCCAGCAGCCGCGGUAAUUCCAGCUCCAAUAGCGUAUAUUAAAGUAGUUGCGGUUAAAAAGUUCGUAGUUGAAUCUGUGCCGCACGCUGUCGGUUCGCCGCUCGCGGUGUAUUAACUGACAUGCUCGUGAGACGUCCUACCGGUGGGCUUAGCUCCUUCGGGGGCGGUCCAACUAAUAUCCCAUCGCGGUGCUCUUUAUUGAGUGUCGAGGUGGGCCGGUACGUUUACUUUGAACAAAUUAGAGUGCUUAAAGCAGGCUAUCAUUUGCCUGAAUAUUCUGUGCAUGGAAUAAUGGAAUAGGACCUCGGUUCUAUUUUGUUGGUUUUAAGAAACCCGAGGUAAUGAUUAAUAGGGACAGAUGGGGGCAUUCGUAUUGCGACGUUAGAGGUGAAAUUCUUGGAUCGUCGCAAGACGGACAGAAGCGAAAGCAUUUGCCAAAAAUGUUUUCAUUAAUCAAGAACGAAAGUUAGAGGUUCGAAGGCGAUCAGAUACCGCCCUAGUUCUAACCAUAAACGAUGCCAGCUAGCGAUCCGCCGAAGUUCCUCCGAUGACUCGGCGGGCAGCUUCCGGGAAACCAAAGCUUUUGGGUUCCGGGGGAAGUAUGGUUGCAAAGCUGAAACUUAAAGGAAUUGACGGAAGGGCACCACCAGGAGUGGAGCCUGCGGCUUAAUUUGACUCAACACGGGAAACCUCACCAGGCCCGGACACCGGAAGGAUUGACAGAUUGAGAGCUCUUUCUUGAUUCGGUGGGUGG